AUUAAAUGAAGUAAAGUGGUGUCUUAGAGAUGCACUUGCAAUUCAAAAUGAAUUGGCUGAACAACGCUGCCCUUACGACAAGAUUCAGAAAGGUGGGAACUGCACAAUGCACUGCAAAGGAACGUUUAUAGAGAACAACUCACUCUAUGAUGAAGAGAAAAUCUGUGUGAACUUCACACUUAAUUUACCUAUGUUUACAAAUCUUCAUGAGAAUACGCCUCCAACUUUCCAUAAAAAAUAUUGUAAUAUACCAAAGUGCAUAUAUGACUGGUUCUCUGUUACAUGUACUUUUCCGAAACAAACAGAUAUUGGAAGUGAAAUUGGUAGCGCAGACAUAAAUAUGAACAGUGAAAUACAGGAAUAUGAACAAAAGUACUUAUUAGUGGCUUUUGCUUGUGUGGUAGCGGGUUGUAUUAUUGGAGUAUUGUUAACAUUGACUGGUCGUCGCUGGUAAGUUAAAUUCUUCACCAAUCAUAGACAAACAUCACCAUCAUCUGCCGAUCAAAACCAGACAAUCCAGAGAACCGGAGAAUCAAUAGAUAACCUUUAUAUGUACUGCGAUAUAGAAGAUACUGCGAGGAUAUCAGAAAAAGGAGUUCAAGUACCAUCACUUAAAGACAAGAGUCCAUCAAGUAUGUGAUCAGGGACCUCCAAUGUUUAUCAUCUUCUGAAUGAGAAAGGGAGUCCUAUUGAUUCCCUGACAUCCACUGUAGGAACAACGUCACGUGGAGGAAGUACAUCAGAAGAUAACUGUCAUAACACAAGUUUGAGAGAAAAGAACUCGGCAGCUAAAACGAGCACUGUGGAACAGGCAUUUGAAACAGGAAAUGAAAAUAGAAAUUAUUUUCAACUUGAAAUGAAACCAGAAGAUAGUCUAGAUAUUUGAGAGGUCUA